rnacentral:rRNA from 1 species
GACGAACCGUGCAAACGUUGUUCGGAAUCACUGGGCUUAAAGGGCGCGUAGGCGGCUUGCCAAGUCAGGGGUGAAAUCUUUCGGCUUAACCGGAAAAGUGCCUUUGAUACUGGCAGGCUUGAGGGAGGUAGGGGCAUGUGGAACUUCCGGUGGAGCGGUGAAAUGCGUUGAUAUCGGAAGGAACGCCGGUGGCGAAAGCGACGUGCUGGACCUCUUCUGACGCUGAGGCGCGAAAGCUAGGGGAG